rnacentral:rRNA from 1 species
CCUACGGGUGGCAGCAGUGGGGAAUAUUGCACAAUGGGGGAAACCCUGAUGCAGCAACGCCGCGUGAGUGAAGAAGUAUUUCGGUAUGUAAAGCUCUAUCAGUAGGGAAGAAGAACGACGGUACCUGACUACGAAGCACCGGCUAACUACGUGCCAGCAGCCGAGGUAAUACGGAGGGGGCAAGCGUUAUCCGGAUUUACUGGGUGUAAGGGGAGCGUAGACGGCUGAGCAGGUCUGAAGUGAAAUCACGUGGCUCAACCGCGGAACUGCUUUGGAAACUGGAUAGCUUGAGUACGGGAGAGGCAGGCGGAAUUCGUAGUGUAGCGGUGAAAUGCGUAGAUAUGAGGAAGAACACCAGUUGCGAAGGCGGCCUGCUGGACAGAAACUGACGUUGAGGCUCGAAAGCGUGGGGAGCGAACAGGAUUAGAUACCCCGGUAGUC